UUGAGCUUGCUUCGAGCCACUCCCUAUUUCUAACCAAACCACUCCAUUCUCCCUCAAAAACCAUCCACACACCUUCCCUAUAAAUAGAGGGAGGUGUUCCAUCAGAAAACCAAGCUUGAAACUCCUCAAACCUCUAUUGAACUUUUCACCCAAAGCUUCAAAAACAAAAAAUCGUGUUUUGAGUUUCAACUUUAAACAAC
rnacentral:lncRNA from 1 species